CCCUUAGAUGUUCUGGGCUGCACGCGCGUUACACUGAUUCGUUCAACGAGUUUAUGACCUUGCCUGAUGAGGUGGGGGAAUCUUUUCAAAUCGCAUCGUGAUGGGGAUAGAGUAUUGUAACUGUUAGUCUUCAACGAGGAAUUCCUAGUAAGUACGUGUCAUCAGCUCGUACUGAUUAUGUCCCUGCCCUUUGUACACACCGCCCGUCGCUCCUACCGAUUGAGUGCUCAGGUGAAUAGUAUGGACUGCAUCAGUGUUCGGUCUCCGAAUGUUGACGCGAGAAAUUCUGUGAAUCUUAUUGCUUAGAGGAAGGAGAAGUCGUAACA
rnacentral:rRNA from 1 species